GAUGAACGCUGGCGGCGUGCCUAAUACAUGCAAGUCGAGCGAACAGACGAGGAGCUUGCUCCUCUGACGUUAGUGGCGGACGGGUGAGUAACACGUGGAUAACCUACCUAUAAGACUGGGAUAACUUCGGGAAACCGGAGCUAAUACCGGAUAAUAUAUUGAACCGCAUGGUUCAAUAGUGAAAGACGGUUUUGCUGUCACUUAUAGAUGGAUCCGCGCCGCAUUAGCUAGUUGGUAAGGUAACGGCUUACCAAGGCAACGAUGCGUAGCCGACCUGAGAGGGUGAUCGGCCACACUGGAACUGAGACACGGUCCAGACUCCUACGGGAGGCAGCAGUAGGGAAUCUUCCGCAAUGGGCGAAAGCCUGACGGAGCAACGCCGCGUGAGUGAUGAAGGUCUUCGGAUCGUAAAACUCUGUUAUUAGGGAAGAACAAAUGUGUAAGUAACUAUGCACGUCUUGACGGUACCUAAUCAGAAAGCCACGGCUAACUACGUG
rnacentral:rRNA from 1 species